rnacentral:rRNA from 1 species
GGGUCAGUAGGUUGGUCGUGCCACCGGUACGUACUGGUCUCACUGAUUCCUCCUUCCUGAAUAACCGUAAUGCCAUUAAUUUGGUGUUGCGGGGAAACAGGACUGUUACUUUGAAAAAAUUAGAGUGUUUAAAGCAGGCUAACGCUUGAAUACAUUAGCAUGGAAUAAUGAAAUAGGACGAUCGAUCCUAUUUUGUUGGUUUCUAGGAUUGACGUA